AGCCCUUGACAUGUCCCGUAUGGGUUUCAGAGAUGAGACCCUUCAGUUCGGCUGGCGGGAACACAGGUGCUGCAUGGCUGUCGUCAGCUCGUGUCGUGAGAUGUUGGGUUAAGUCCCGCAACGAGCGCAACCCUCGCCCUUAGUUGCCACCAUUUAGUUGGGCACUCUAAGGGGACUGCCGGUGAUAAGCCGCGAGGAAGGUGGGGAUGACGUCAAGUCCUCAUGGCCCUUACGGGCUGGGCUACACACGUGCUACAAUGGCGGUGACAGUGGGACGCAAUGGAGCAAUCCUGCGCAAAUCUCAAAAAGCCGUCUCAGUUCGGAUUGGGGUCUGCAACUCGACCCCAUGAAGUCGGAAUCGCUAGUAAUCGUAGAUCAGCACGCUACGGUGAAUACGUUCCCGGGCC
rnacentral:rRNA from 1 species